GGCUCGGUAGUGGACGGUCCACGCCUGCAUUCACUGUCAAGUUGUCAACGUCCAGCAGGAACCGCUCGUUCAACUCGAGCCCGGGCCA